GACCCUCUACUUCAAUGAAGAUGAAGGAAGAUCACAGCAUGCUAUUAAGAUAGGCGAGGCUAUGCCAGGUGUGUGGAGAAACCACAGGGAGGUGUAAAGGCUGAGGCCUGAUGUUCCCCAGCUGGCGAAAUGGAGUUGAAAAUAACUCAGAUACCUCUUCAGUAUGGAAUUUAUCUCAUGGAAAUAAUGCCAAAGAAGUUAUAAAAACAGACAAGCUCAUCACAACUUUUGUAGCAACAACAACGAAAAGUGGAGACAACCUACAUAUCUACUAAUAGAUAAAUGACCUCUCUUUUCCUGGGGACUCUGUGUUUUAUAAGUGAAGAGGCUAUCGAGUCUGGAACAGUCUGUGCUAAUCAAACUGCAAGUGAAGUUUUUGGAGUGGCCCUGAAUUGAAUCUGGGUCCCAAAGACCAAGGACCAGCUCCCCUAUCACGAUGACACUGAUAGCUGAGUGACCUCCAACCUGCAUGGUCAGCCUUUGAACAGGGAUUGCUUUCAAUAUUACCUUAACUUGCUAGUCAUUAGUGUGUCUUUUUUAGAGGGCUUUUAAAAAGAGUUAUUAAGGAAGAUGAAAGAAAGUUCACUAAAGGCCAAAGUCUCAAGAAAUUCUGAUUAAAUAAUUGCAAAAACAGAUUUUAAAAAAGAACUAUCCGGUUAGUUGGCAUGACCACUAAUUAUGUUUGUAUAGUUAAUGACUGGAGAAAACCUGGAAGACAUCUAUUAUCACCAUUCUCAUUUUACAAAUGAGGAGAUUGAAGCAUAAAGAGGUUAGGAAAUUUGUGCAAGAUCACCAGUUAGUGGGUAGCCCAACCAACACUCAAACCUGAGCAGUCAGCCCCCAGAAUCCUGUACGUGACUACGAUUCUACACUCCCUGGGUCAGAAUUCCACUAGAAUUCCAUUUUAACAAAUGCAGCUACAAAGAAUCUGUAAUAAAAUGUUUUCCUAUCUAGGUGUAUGCUUUUUGGUCAAGUUGUAGCAAAGAGUCCUGUACUCAAAAUAAUUCAUAAGGUUUCUCUUUCUCUUCUUGAUCAUACAACUCCACAUUAGAAAAGAUGCUACAAUUUGCAACACAGCGGAAACCUUUAGAGGUUUUCCUCCCUCUCCAUCUAUCACAUAGUCAUAAUAAGAAUAGGUACAAUAUACUGAGCCUUUGCAUGGUGUGCUGGUCGAUUUUAUUGGUUCCCUCCCCCUGACCCACCCCCACAAAACACUCCUAUUGGUAUUCAUGCCCCCACAUAGUCCCUCGAAUCUGGGCUGGCCUUGCCGACUCUAUUAACCAAUGGAAUUUGGAAUAUGGCAGAAAUGAUGCUGUGCUACUAGUUCCAGGCUUAUAUCUUAAAAGGAGAGUAGCUUCUACUUUUUGUGGUUGGAAUCUCUACCAUGCAGAGGCCAGGUGGGGAGAGAGAGGGAGGACCAUCUGAGCCCAGCCCCCAGUCAAUCUGCCCGCUGAUUGCAGCUACACAAGUGACGGCUUGCAAGACCAAUAGAAAAGUCACUCAGCAUACCCCAGCCAAAAUAACCUGUUGUUGUUUUAAAUCAACAAGUUUUAGGGCAGUUAUGCAGCAGUAGAUAUCUGGAGCACCAGGUGCCUCUGCCAUUUUUCAGUGCACUCAUUCCCAAAUAUUUAUUCUCUACUGUGUGCCAUCUCCAGGAACUAGUUACAGUGCUGAAAAUGAACAAUUAAACAAAUAAAUGAACAAUGUUUACUCUGAAUAAAAUGUAGCCAGAGAAAGAGUGACAGAUGAGAGUGGUUAUUUUAGAUGAGGAGGUCAAGGAAGGCCCUUCUAAGGAUCUUCCUUCCAAGCUGAGAUCUGAAUGAUCUAGAAGGAGCCAACUGCCAAAAGAUUAGAAGGCAGCAAGUUCCAGACAGCAGAUAAGUUAAAAGGCUCCGAGGUGGGAGGGGCUUGGCAUGUUUAAAAGCAGAAGGCCAGGGGCUGGACCACAGUGAGUGAGGGGUAGGAGUGAAGAGGAAAUUCAAAGAGGUAGGCAGGGACUAGAUCAUUUUAGGCCACGGGGGACUUUGGAUUUUAGUCUAUGUGUAAAGGAAACCAUUGGAGGGUUUUACACAUGGAGUGAUAUGCUCUAAUGUGAGCUCUUAAAAAGGUGGUUCUGGCAGCUUUGUGAAUAAAAUUGCAGAGGCAACAAGCCACCCUGGUGGAAAUCCCCCUGCCCCUUCAGAGAAAUUAGUCAGGCAACUCGGGCAGUAAUAGCCCAAGCACUGAGUGAGAGUGGCUCAGACUGGGGAAGCGGUUCUCCAAGUGUGGUCUUAACCAGUUUGGCGUUCCUCAAAAAGUUAGACAUAGACUGCCGUGUGGCCUAGAAGUUCUGCUGCUAUGUACAUACCACCAAAAGAACCGAAAACAGAUGUCACACAAAAACUUGUACAGUCGUGUUCAUAGCAACAUAACUGAGAAUAGCCAAAAAGUGAAAAUAACCCAAACGUCCAUCAAACUGAUAAAUACAUAAAAUGAAAUAUUCUUCAGCUAUAAAACAAAUGAAGUACUGAUAUAUGCUACAACGUGGAUGAACUUUGAAAACAUUAUGUUAAGUAAAAGAAAUCAGACAGAAAAGAACUACACAUGGUAUGAUUCAAUUUUUAUGAAGCGUCCAGAAUUGGCAAAUCCAUAGAAUAAGAAAGUAGAUUAAUGGUUACCAGGUACUGGUAUGAGGGGGAAAUCGGUAAUGACUGCUAAUGGAGUGAUGGAAAUAUUCUGGAAUAAGAUAGUGGUGAUUUGCACAAACUUUGUGAAUAUACUGAAACCCAUUGACUGUAUAUCUUAAAAGAAUGAAGUUGAUGUAUGAAAAUGACAUCUCAAUUUUUUUUUAAAUGUUAAAAUUGUGGUCUGGGACAUAUUAGUGGGUCUGUAAAGUCAAACUAUAUUCAUAACAGUAAGACAUUAUUUGCCUUUUUUAUUCUUUCAUGAGUGUACAGUAGAGUUUUCCAGAGGCUACAUGACAUGUGAUUAUUGAAGCAGAUUGAAUGCAGAAGUAGUUAUGAAAAUACAAGCUUUUUUAAAAAGCCAGACAUUAAAGAGAUCAAACAAACAAGUGGACAGCAAUACCACUCUUCUUACUAAAUUUUUUGGGAAAAUAUGGCUGCUUUAAAAUAUUAUUAUUUAGAUUAAUGUGCCUGUGGACUUAUUUUUUAAUGAUUAAAUAAUAUUUUAAAUUUGCUUCACAUAUGAUUUCUAAUGCUAAUGAUAAAUAUCAAUAUAACCCACAUAAACACUGGAGUCACAAUAGUUU